rnacentral:rRNA from 1 species
UGCCCUAGUAACGGCGAGUGAAGCGGCAACAGCUCAAAUUUGAAAUCUGGCCUCGGCCCGAGUUGUAAUUUGCAGAGGAUGCUUCUGGCGCGGUGCCUUCCGAGUUCCCUGGAACGGGACGCCACAGAGGGUGAGAGCCCCGUAUGGUCGGACACCAAGCCUGUGUGAAGCUCCUUCGACGAGUCGAGUAGUUUGGGAAUGCUGCUCUAAAUGGGAGGUAAAUCUCUUCUAAAGCUAAAUACCGGCCAGAGACCGAUAGCGCACAAGUAGAGUGAUCGAAAGAUGAAAAGCACCUUGAAAAGGGGGUUAAAUAGUACGUGAAAUUGUUGAAAGGGAAGCACUUAUGACCAGACUUGGGCCGGGCGGCUCAUCAGGGGUUCUCCCCUGUGCACUCCGCCCGGCACAGGCCAGCAUCGGUUCUCGUGGGGGGACAAGACCGUCAGGAACGUAGCACCCUCCGGGGUGUGUUAUAGCCUGGCGGACGAUACCCCCGUGGGGACCGAGGUCCGCGCUCCGCAAGGAUGCUGGCGUAAUGGUCAUCAGUGACCCGUCUUGAAACACGGACCAAGGAGUCGUCCAUUAGAGCGAGCGUUUGGGUGUAAAACCCGCACGCGUAAUGAAAGUGAACGCAGGUGAGAGCUUCGGCGCAUCAUCGACCGAUCCUGAUGUUCUCGGAAGGAUUUGAGUAAGAGUUUUAACGGACGGACCCGAAAGACAGUGAACUAUGCUUGUAUAGGGUGAAGCCAGAGGAAACUCUGGUGGAGGCUCGCAGCGGUUCUGACGUGCAAAUCGAUCGUCAAAUAUGAGCAUGGGGGCGAAAGACUAAUCGAACU